GACGAACGCUGGCGGCGUGCCUAAUACAUGCAAGUUGAGCGCUGAAGGUUGGUACUUGUACCAACUGGAUGAGCAGCGAACGGGUGAGUAACGCGUGGGGAAUCUGCCUUUGAGCGGGGGACAACAUUUGGAAACGAAUGCUAAUACCGCAUAAAAACUUUAAACACAAGUUUUAAGUUUGAAAGAUGCAAUUGCAUCACUCAAAGAUGAUCCCGCGUUGUAUUAGCUAGUUGGUGAGGUAAAGGCGCACCAAGGCGAUGAUACAUAGCCGACCUGAGAGGGUGAUCGGCCACAUUGGGACUGAGACACGGCCCAAACUCCUACGGGAGGCAGCAGUAGGGAAGCUUCGGCAAUGGACGAAAGUCUGACCGAGCAACGCCGCGUGAGUGAAGAAGGUUUUCGGAUCGUAAAACUCUGUUGGUAGAGAAGAACGUUGGUGAGAGUGGAAAGCUCAUCAAGUGACGGUAACUACCCAGAAAGGGACGGCUAACUACGUG
rnacentral:rRNA from 1 species